rnacentral:snoRNA from 1 species
GAGAUAUGAGGUCAUCUGAAUAAUUUUGAUUGUCAUUGAAGACCGAUAUUUUAUAUACAUGCCAUAUCUGACCUCAACAAAGAA